CAGCCUCCGGCGCCUCUGCUUCCCCCGGCAGCCGCUCGGCGUGCGCUGACUGCUGCUGCGCUCUUUCUCCUCCUCCUUUUCGUCCUCGUCCUCCACCUCCUCCUCCAGCUCCUGGCUCAGCCUCAGCCUCAGCAGCGCCAAGCUAAUCCCCGACCAUAUAGGGAGCUGGGCUAACACUCCACUGCACUGCAGAGCGCCAACGCCAACCAAGCAGUCCGCCCACCCCUCUCGCCUCUCGCCCCAGCCAAGUGCGCUGCGGCCGCCCGCUCCGUGGAGAGCGCAACGCUGGGCGCGUCGAGCUGGCGGGGGCGGUGCGGGGGCCCUGGGCUGGCGCGGUGGAGCCUCCCCCGCACCGCUGGGUACCGCACCGCACACUCAGCGGAGGCGCGCGCCCCGCGGCGACCGGAGGAUGUCCCCUAAACUGCUCCAAUUCACAAACAAAGGCCAGUUGCUUAGCUCCAGCGCGCCCAGACUGGGUGUUCCAAGGCAAGAAGUUAUUUUCACCAGGGAAGCCUGUGAACAGAAAGAGCUCCUGAGACUACACCUGCUUUUAAUUUGGUGUCAGUAGGAACGAUGGAGAUGAAAACCUCAUCAAGACCAGCACGGAUUUGGGAAUCACCAAUAGAGUCAACCCCUCACUCUAAGAUGAGGAAACUAAGGCCCCCUAAGGUGAACUGUGAACUGAAUUGAUGAAAGCUGGGAUCAAAGCCCAGAUCUCUGGGCUCCUUGUCUGGUAUUUAUCUUCCCUGCUUUCUUCAUAAUUAAAUUCAGUGUAAUGACGCAGACGUAGAGCAAGAUCCUGGAGUGUCUUCUUAAUCAUCAAAUAUUGUCCUCUAUAAAGUUAUAAUGUUUAGUGAAUUUGCUGUAGUCUCAUUCUUUUAAAAAUGGCUAACACAUGUGUGAGAAUUCGCUAGUGACCACCUAGAGUGCUUGUUCCCUAAGGGAUUAUUGACUAUUCUUUAAAACUAUAACAACAGACAACAACAACAACAAAAAGGAAAAUAAAAUUAAGGUUGAGCUUAAUCACUUCACUCACUUAAGUACUUAUUACACGUAAAAGCAGUGUGUUGAGGAGGUUUUGGGAUUGGUGAAUCUCAUGUUGAGGUGGUUUUAGGAUAGCCCUUUACAAACAUAAAAUAUUAAAUUACUAAAUUGCAUGACUGUACUAGUCCAUUUUCACGCUGCUGAUAAAGACAUACCUGAGACUGGUCAAUUUACAAAAAAAAGGAAAAAAAAGGUUUAAUGGACUUACAGUUCCAGGUGGCUGGGGAGGCCUCACAAUCAUAACAGAAGGCAAGGAGAAGCAAGUCACGUCUUACAUGGAUGGCAGCAGGCAAAGAGAGAGAGUUGUGCAGGGAAAUUCUCGUUUUUAAAACCAUCAGAUCUCGUGAGAUUCAUUCACUAUCAUGAGAACAGCACAGGAAAGACCUGCCCCCACAAUUCAAUCCCCUCCCACCAGGUUCCUCCCAUGACACGUGGGGAUUGUGGGAGUUGCAAUUCAAGAUGAGAUUUAGGUGAGGACACAGCCAAACCAUUUCAAUGACUUACACAUUACUUCACAUUUUUCAUAUCCUUCCACUUCUUAGUUUCUACCACAA
rnacentral:lncRNA from 1 species